ACAACAACAAUAUUACUGUCGUACAUGGGCAAUUAUUUAUAUUUGAUUUAAAGUAAAUCGAUCGAAAUGCAUGGCAUGUUCACAAAUGUUCUAUGGUACUUAGAAUUCUUUGCUUUCGUUGGUAUAUUGGUUGGGUUUUUUUGUUUCUUCUUGUAUUUGGCUAGUUUAAAUUACGUUACGUAUAAUAUGCGGUACGAUACACGUCCAAAAUAUAUGGCUGAUGAUACCUGGUUAAUUCAAGGUUAACUCAAUGAAUACUAAGGACACUACGCUGAAAAUUUUACUACACAAUCUCGCCGACACAAAGUGCAAAGAGAAGAAGUGCGAGCCUAAACAAAGGCCGGUAUGGUGUGACCAAGGCUGCAUUUGGUUUUGUCGACUCAUCGGCAGCAUCUUAACAAUAGCAAUAUGCUAUUAUUGCGCCUACACUCUCAUCUCUGACACUAAACUCAAGUUUGGAUUAUUUA